GAAACCGUUCAGGGGUAAACCUGAGAAACCCAAAAGUUCGAAAAGGGAGAUUCAUCGUCAACGACUGCCGGCUCCCGUGGCGCGCGAUGCCUCUCGUCCUCGGACGGGCGGGCACGCCGCCGCGGCGAACGUUCCGGCGUCGCGGUCGUGCACUUCUCCCUUAGUAGGACGUCGCGACCCGUUGGGUGUCGGCCUACGGCUCGAGCGGGAGUCUGCCGCUUCGGCGGCAAACCCUCGAAUCCCUGGCCGACCGCACGACGGUAGUAAAGACGGUAUCAGGUCGCAACAAGUGCGUCAGGCCCGCCGCAAGUCGGAACCUCUCCGGAGGGACUGGCUGUUAGCUGGCGGUGUUGUCGGACUGGCCGAAAUACCUGUCAGCGACGCUAUUGCUUUGGGUACUCUCAGGACCCGUCUUGAAACACGGACCAAGGAGUCUAACAUGUACGCGAGUCAUUGAGAUUUAUCAAACUUAAAGGCGAAAUGAAAGUGAAGGUCGGCCUCCGCGCCGACCGAGGGAGGAUGGGCCGCGUGCAAAUGCGGCCUCGCACUCCCGGGGCGUCUCGUUCUCAUUGCGAGAUGAGGCGCACCCAGAGCGUACACGUUGGGACCCGAAAGAUGGUGAACUAUGCCUGGUCAGGACGAAGUCAGGGGAAACCCUGAUGGAGGUCCGUAGCGAUUCUGACGUGCAAAUCGAUCGUCGGAACUGGGUAUAGGGGCGAAAGACUAAUCGAACCAUCUAGUAGCUGGUUCCCUCCGAAGUUUCCCUCAGGAUAGCUGGCACUCACAUGUUCUAUAUUCGAACGCACUACGAGUCUCAUCUGGUAAAGCGAAUGAUUAGAGGCCUUGGGGCCGAAACGACCUCAACCUAUUCUCAAACUUUAAAUGGGUGAGAACUCUGGCUUGCUUAAAGCAUAUGAAGCCAAGAGAACAUUGGAUCAGAGUGCCAAGUGGGCCAUUUUUGGUAAGCAGAACUGGCGCUGUGGGAUGAACCAAACGCGGAGUUAAGGCGCCUAAGUCGACGCUUAUGGGAUACCAUGAAAGGCGUUGGUUGCUUAAGACAGCAGGACGGUGGCCAUGGAAGUCGGAA
rnacentral:rRNA from 1 species